AAGGGCAAGUAUAAAUAAGUUUGAGAUGGGCUUUUUCUGUGGUUGUAGGGGUCAGGACUAGAAACAAUGUCCUCAAGCUGCAGUAGAGAACAUUUAGGUUAGAGAAUAGGAGGAACUUUCUGACUAUGAGAGUGGUCAAGCAUUGGAACAGGCUACUUAGAGAGGUGUGGAAUAUCCAC